GCCCUUACGGGGCCGCAGCAGUCGCGAAAACUUCACACUGGGGGCAACCCCGAUGAGGGAACUCCCUAGUGCCAGGGCUUUUUGUCAUGGCUUUUCUCCAGCGUAGAUUACGGAGGAAUAAGGGCUGGGUAAGACGGGUGCCAGCCGCCGCGGUAAUACCUGCAGCCCGAGUGGUGGUCGAUUUUAUUGAGUCUAAAACGUUCGUAGCCGGUCCGGUAAAUCCCUGGGUAAAUCGGGAAGCUCAACUUCCCGAAUUCCGGGGAGACUGCCGGACUUGGGACCGGGAGAGGCUAGAGGUACUUCUGGGGUAGGGGUAAAAUCCUGUAAUCCUGGAAGGACCACCGGUGGCGAAGGCGUCUAGCUAGAACGGAUCCGACGGUGAGGGACGAAGCCCUGGGUCGCAAACGGGAUUAGAUACCCCGGUAGUCCAGGGUGUAAACGCUGCAGACUUGGUGUUGGGGGCCCUUCGGGGGCGUCCAGUGCCGGAGAGAAGUUGUUAAGUCUGCUACUUGGGGAGUACGUCCGCAAGGAUGAAACUUAAAGGAAUUGGCGGGGGAGCACCGCAACGGGAGGAGCGUGCGGUUUAAUUGGAUUCAACACCGGAAAACUCACCAAGGGCGACUGUUACAUGAAGGCCAGGCCGAUGACCUUGCCGGAUUUUCAGAGAGGUGGUGCAUGGCCGUCGUCAGUUCGUACCGUAAGGCGUUCUCUUAAGUGAGAUAACGAACGAGACCCUCACCGAUAAUUGCUACUUCUUCCUCCGGGGAGGAGGCACAUUAUAGGGACCGCUGGCGCUAAGCCAG
rnacentral:rRNA from 1 species